ensembl:lncRNA
CAUUGUUGAUGUCUUGUGUGUGUAUUCUCAUCACUAUAAGACAACGUGAGGUCGGUGUGUAGAGUGGUGGGAUCUUGGAGAAGUCUGAGGAUGGUGGGAGAAAGGGAGAGAACAGAGUGAUAUAGAUGGAAUAGCAGAGAGAGAGAGAGAGAGAGAGAGAGAGAGAGAGAACAAGGAGAGCAGAGGCAGAGGAGGGAGCCCGUAGCUCCACGUGACGGUUGUUCAUACCAUGGCAAACAGUCUCAGCAAUGUUAGGGGCGUCUUACAGGGAGGAUAUCCUGUUCAGAACAUCUGUCACAGGCCAGCUUUUAUCUCUGACCUCCACAUCAACACCAUCCAAAUGAGAGACGGCGAAAGAGAGGGAGGAGAGAAGGAGAGGAUACCUCUGCAAUACCAAUUAAUACCAAUUGUUGGCUGCAAUCAUUUCAAUACAACACACACAUUUGAAAACAUUGCUUGCUGUAUGCCAAGGUUGGCAUUGGAAUAAGGGUGAGACAGCGGCAUAAUGAAUUAAUGAUAACCCUUCCAUAAAGUGAUGAUCUACCCUGUCAGUAUGUGUAAAAAGAAUGGUGUCUACACUACAAUAUCUUCAUGCAUACAGUACAUUCAGAAAGUAUUCAGACCCCUUGACUUUUUCCAAAAUGUGUUACGUUACUUAUUCUAAAAUUGAUUUUUUUUAAACGCCUCAUCAGUUUAUACACAAUACCCCAUGAUGACAAAGCAAAACACGUUUCAUUUUUGUGUGCAAAUUUAUACAACUAAAUAAAUGAAAUAACAAAUUUACAUAAGUAUUUAUAAGUAUUUAGACCCAUAAGUAUUUAGACCCUUUACUCAGUACUUUGUUGAAGCAUCUUUAGCAGCGAUUACAGCCUCAAGUUGUCUUGGGUAUGACGCUACAAGCUUGGCACACAUGUAUUUGGGGAGUUUCUCUCAUUCUUCUCUGCAGAUCUUCUCAAGCUCUGUCAGGUUGGAUGGGGAGCGUCGCAGAACAGCUAUUUUCAGGUCUCCAGAGAUGUUCGAUCGGGUUCAAGUCCGGGCUCUGACUGAGCCACUCAAGGACAUUCAGAGACUUGUCCCGAAGCCACUCCGGCGUUGUCUUGGCUGUGUGCUUAAGGUCGUUGUACUGUUGAAAGGUAAACCUUCACCCCAGUCUGAGGUCCUGAGUGCUCUGGAGCAAGCUUUCAUCAAGGAUCUCUAUGUACUUUUCUCCGUUCACCUUUCCCUCGAUCCUAACUAGUCUCCCAGUCCCUGCCCCUGAAAAAACAUCCCGAUGCAUGAUUCUGCCACCACAUUCCUUCACCGUAGGGAUGGUGCCAGGUUUCCUCCAGACGUGACGCUUGGCACUCAGGUCAAAGAGUUCAAUCUUGGUUUCAUCAGACCAGAGAAUCUUGUUUCCUAUGGUCUGAGAGUCCUUUAGGUGGCUUUUGUAAAACUCCAAGCGGGCUGUUCCUUUUACUGAGGAUUAGCUUCCAUCUGACCUGACCUGAUUGGUGGAGUGCUGCAGAGAUGGUUGUCCAAAUGGAAGGUUUUCCCAUCUCCACAGAGGAACUCUAGACCUCUGUCACAGUGACCAUCGGGUUCUUGGUCACCUCCAUAACCGUGGUCCUUCUCCCCCAAUUGCUCAGUUUGGCCGGACGGCUAGCUCUAGGAAGAGUCUUGGUGGUUCCAAACGUCUUCCAUUUAAGAAUGAUGAUCAGGCGUGCGGGUGCAGGCAGCGAACGGUUGAAAAGCAUGCAUUUGGUUUUACUAGCGUUUAAGAGCAGUUGGAGGCCACGGAAGGAGUGUUGUAUGGCAUUGAAGCUCGUUUGGAGGUUAGAUAGCACAGUGUCCAAGGACGGGCCGGAAGUAUAUAGAAUGGUGUCGUCUGCAUAGAGGUGGAUCAGGGAUGUACAUUUAGGUGGUUUAGACAUAGAUGCUCACAAUUGCAGGACAUUAGAACAUUGAUGUGAAAUGAAUAUGAUACAUGAUGUCAUUUUCACUUCCAGACCCUUCCUCAAUGAUCCCCCUCUACAUCGGUCUCCGUGCCGGUAUCUAUGUUCUCAUCCUUCUGGUGGAAUCUCUCCUGUGUUUUCUCUGGUGUAGACACGGAAGAGAACUCAAGUCUGCACUAUGCUAUAAGGAUGUGACCUUGCUGGGGAGUUCAAGUUGGAUAUGGCUGGAGAGUAUGAUGUGUCAAUGUUUUUAUAAACCAGAAGUCAAUAGGAGGAGAAGUUAUUCAAUUUGAACAAUUUGCAAUUUCCAUGCACCUUGUGAAUGUAUUUUUAUACUAUACACAGUGUUUAAUGUGUAAUGUGUUUGUAUAUGUAAAAUAUAGCAAUUUUAUUAGCAUUACAUUUUUUUCUGCUCUAGUAUGUUGUGUUUUUCCAGUGAAAAUAAAGCUUGUACAGUAUAUUGUAAAUAAUUGUUGGAAAUGUUGUUUCUUUUCUCUGGAAGAGAAAUUGUGUUGUUUAGAUUACACAGCUGUUGUGUUUCAACGGUCUGUCUCAUGAUGGUCAUUGAUCUACCUGAGCUUUAGCUGGGUGUUUUGUGUCUGUUUGUCAUGUAGACGUGGCCACAGUGGGGGUACUGCUCAUUGUAAGGUUCUGCUUUACUUUUUUUUAAGUCAACCUUGUGUUCUUUUUCUUUGUGUUCUUGAACGUAGCCCUGUUUCUUUGUGUUCUUGAACGUAGCCCUGUUUCUUUGUGUUCUGGAACGUAGCCCUGUUUCUUUGUGUUCUGGAACGUAGCCCUGUUUCUUUGUGUUCUGGAACGUAGCCCUG